GAUGAACGCUAGCGGCAGGCCUAAUACAUGCAAGUCAAGGGGCCAGUAAUGGCACCGGCGGACGGGUGCGUAACGCGUACACAACGUACCUUUGGGUGGGGGAUAGCAUCGGGAAACUGGUGGUAAUACCCCAUGGUAUUGGAAACUGGCAUCAGUUUUCAAUUAAAGACUACGCCCAAAGAUCGGUGUGCGUCUGAUUAGCUAGUUGGUAAGGUAACGGCUUACCAUGGCAACGAUGGGUAGGGGUCCUGAGAGGGAGAUCCCCCACACUGGUACUGAGACACGGACCAGACUCCUACGGGAGGCAGCAGUGAGGAAUAUUGGACAAUGGGCGCAAGCCUGAUCCAGCCAUGCCGCGUGCAGGAAGACGGUCCUAUGGAUUGUAAACUGCUUUUAUACAGGAAGAAACACCUCUACGUGUAGAGACUUGACGGUACUGUAUGAAUAAGCAUCGGCUAACUCCGUG
rnacentral:rRNA from 1 species